AUUGAUUCAAGCAUGGAUGAAGAGUUGGAUGAAAGGAAGGAGUUUUGGGGAUCUUAAAGUACUUCUCAUUGUCUUUUUUCUCUAUUUUAUGGUCUAUUUGGACUUAUAGGAACAAGGCAACUGUGAAGAAAGAGCCUUUCUCUGCCACUAAUGUGGUCAUGUAUUGUAAAUUUUGAUUUUAAUGUGCAGGGUAACUAACAGUUCAAAAGCCUUGAUAGCAGCAGGAUAAGCAAAUCUAAGUGUUCCAACUAGCAACCAACUCUAUUGGAGACAAGCUGCAAGCAUAGGAGAAGGAAAUAGAGAGGAUCCAGCUUCUUUUGUAAGAUAGAGAAGGUGGCAGAGUUGGCCAAUAGAGAGGCUGUGUGGUUAAGGUCAUUCAACAUAUUACAAAUGUUUGGAUUUGACAGGUGGACAGAUGUCCUAGCAGAGCCUUGAUCCCUAGCAACACUUUGCCCAUAAGUUCUUCAUGAGCAUUAGCUUGGACAACUGGAAGCAAACUCCGAAUCUUGUACUCUUUUCUUCUUGUGCUGUUUUGGUUCCUUUGUUUCAAUGUACAAAAAAAGAAUGGCAAGACAAAGCAUUUUGUUGGUGUUUUAAAAAGCAGUAGAAAUCAUGUGCUGGAAAGCAAGUAAACAUUGACAUUGGAAGCUUUUACUGCCAAAGGUAUAUUGAUUUAUUACUCUAUCCCAUGUUGUUUUCUUCCAUUCAGAAUUAGGCUUCUAGGUUUCUCUUAUUUAGAAGUCCACAAGAACAAGCUCAUUAGUGAAGGCAUGACAGAUUGACAGGUAACUGUCAAGAACUAAAGGAAAGCCUCAACAGCAGCAAAAUAAGCAAAACCCAGACCUUUAUAGUCUUUCAACUGGCAACCAAUCCUGCUGGAGAAGAGUUGCAAAGGUAAAAGAAUGAACUGGAGAGGAUUCAUUCAGUUUUGUUUGUAAAACUAGAGGCUGGUUGUUUGAGCUAGACUAAAGAGGGUGGAAUAGAAGUAACAAGGAGGUGGUGGCAGAGCUGAUGAAGGACAUUCAGGGUGUUUUGGAACAGUUGACAGAUGAUCGGGUUUGGACAGAUGGACAAAAAUCUUUUGGAAGGGCCUCAAAUCUCUAGCAAGUAGCAACCUUUGCUCCUAACUUGUUUGUGAACAUUAGCUUCGAUAGUACAAAGUGGAUUCCUAAUCUUGUACAUUUUUAUUCUAGUGCUGUUAAUGUUCCUUUGUAUCAAUAUAUCAUGGUGCAAAUCCAUCACCAAAGCCAUAAAAAUUUUUUUUAGAACAAAAUAGAAAUCCGUAGAAUUUUAAGAUUACAUUUGUUGUUUAGACAGAAAUUCCUUAUAAUAUAUGUUGAUAACAACAAACAA